AUUGAACGCUGGCGGCAGGCCUAACACAUGCAAGUCGAACGGUAACAGGAAGCAGCUUGCUGCUUUGCUGACGAGUGGCGGACGGGUGAGUAAUGUCUGGGAAACUGCCCGAUGGAGGGGGAUAACUACUGGAAACGGUAGCUAAUACCGCAUAACGUCGCAAGCACAAAGAGGGGGACCUUAGGGCCUCUUGCCAUCGGAUGUGCCCAGAUGGGAUUAGCUAGUAGGUGGGGUAACGGCUCACCUAGGCGACGAUCCCUAGCUGGUCUGAGAGGAUGACCAGCCACACUGGAACUGAGACACGGUCCAGACUCCUACGGGAGGAAGCAGUGGGGAAUAUUGCACAAUGGGCGAAAGCCUGAUGCAGCCAUGCCGCGUGUAUGAAGAAGGCCUUCGGGUUGUAAAGUACUUUCAGCGGGGAGGAAGGGAGUAAAGUUAAAACCUUUGCUCAUUGACGUUACCCGCAGAAGAAGCACCGGCUAACUCCGUG
rnacentral:rRNA from 1 species